UUUUUCAAAGAUGUCACUGGUCUGUGGUUGCCAUGGCAACACCUGCCAGCUUCUCUGAAGUCAGCUCUCAGCUCCCUCCAGUGGCCUUGGCAGCCUCCCUGCCACGCGCCCCUCCUGCCUGGCCCUCCCCCUGCCCAUCUCAGUGCCCCACCUCUGCCUGCCCUCCCAGGUCCCGGGGCCCAGCGUCCCCUUCCUCCUGUUCAUCCAGGCGGGGCGGGCCGAGUGGAGGAGCACUUCAGGGCCACCCGGCACACCGGCGGCUGGGCCCCACUCCCCUGGAUAGACAUAAAUCAGCAGACAAUGCAGCCAGUGACAAGACAAACUCUUCCAACAUCGACAGCAAUGCUCGGAAAUGCCCUGACCCAGAAGAGAAGUCUGGUCCAGCCCCCCACAAGGGCAGGCUGUGGACCAGAUUGGGGAGAACUCUCAGUGUGGAGUAAGCCCAGGGGCUGGACGUCAAGCCGUGGAAAGAACAGAGAGUGAGUCGGGCCAGCUGCCGAUGAGCCAGAGUGUCUAGUGUUAAGUUCCCCCAGAAGAAGACCCUAAGACAAGGAUUCGAGGGCGUAUAAUUUAUUGGGGAGGUGGUCCCUGAAAACACAGGACGUGUGUAGGGGAAGUGGGGUGGGGAAGAGAGGGCAGCUAAUAAAAGAUAUGUUCUCAAGCAUGUUACAAUGGUGGGCAACUGGGGCUCAGUCUCACUGGGACUUCGUCAGGGCUCUCCCUGCUGAGGGGUGAGAGCGCUGGGAUGGGAAUGCCCGACAGUCAGUGUUGGAGAGCUGCUCUCGCAGUGAAAUUCCUCAGCACUUCUGGCUUGCGUCCCUGCCUGGGCAGGGUGUGCGCCUGUGGCCAGAGAAGGCCCUCAAGCCAAAGAUGCAGGGGGAGGCGGCAGGAGCAGGUGUGAACUGAAAUGGCGGGGUCAAGGGGGAAAUAAGCAGGACCCAGUAUGACUACAAUCCCCACAAGAGUCAUCUUAGAGGACACUUGAGGCCCAUGGACUAAUGAGUUUUGAUUUCUGACCCUAACAAGAAGAAUGGAUGGG
rnacentral:lncRNA from 1 species